CCUGUGUCUGCAGCUCUGGGAGAAGAGCUUUUCAUCUGUGCGGCCUUCCUCUAUUAAGGACUGACACUGUAGAGCCUGAACAAUGGGUUUGGGACUGACUGGAAUUUUCAUUCUGACUCUCUUACAAGAACAAGACAUGCAAAUUGGGUCCAACCCUACUGGGAUAAAAAGCAGCCCCAAACCUGUAGAAGUAACGCUGGGAGACAAGAUCAAGGUCUAUGUAUCCUUCCACACAGAGGACUAACCUAGAAACUUACCAUGAAAUUUAAGCUGAACUAGAAUUUCCUCUUGAUUGUUUUCCAAGGUGUCCAGGUGGAGUCUGGAAGUGAUGUGAGACAGCCUGGGGGUUCUAUGCAUCUCUCCUGCAAAGUUUCUGGACUUACCUUCAGUAGCUACUGGAUGAACUGGGUCUGCCAGUCUCCAGGGAAGGGAUUAGAAUGGGUUGCAAGAAUUAGCGCUGGUGGAAGUAGGACAUGCUAUGUAGACCCUGUGAAACGUUGAUUCACCAUCCCCAGAGAUGAUGGCAACAGCAUGUUAUAUCUACAGAUGAAUUCAGUUAAUACUGAGGAUACUGCUGUGUAUUACUGUGCAACAGACACAGUGAGGAAAAGGAAUGUGAGACUAUACAGAAACUUCCCCUGAGGUGCCAUUGAGUCCAGAACGGGGUUGAGCUGAUGAUGCACAGAAUACAAAAUGCCUAGAUCCAGCAACAGGUGUAGAGAGAAUCUGAAUCAUUUCUAUUUCUGGCCUGUGUUGUUUUUUCUUCUAUUCCAGCAGAAAGCAACUUUUCCAGUAGCUAGCCAUGAAUCUUAAUGCCUGACUCUGACUCCCAUUGUUACCCCAUAUUUAAUUGGUAGUUAUGUCUUGUAAAUUGUACUUUCAUCACAUAUGUAGAAUACUCUUCCUUCUCUCCUCAAAGUACCCCAACCACGGAGGUAGGCCCUUAUCAGGUCAAACUGGACUAUUAUGCUAGUCUGCUGGUUGUUCUCCCAGCCUCAGUACUCUCUUCACUCUAGUCCAUACUAAAUUUAACUAUCAAAAUUAUCUUCCUGAAGCACAGAUAUGAUGAUUUCCCCCCAAUUCCAGUGACUCUGUAUUACCUCCGAGAGAAAAUAGAAAAUGCUAUUUGGCUUUUAAAACCUUUCAUAACACAGCCCCUUCCUCUCUUUCCUGUCUUAUUCUACCUUGCUUCCUUCCUUGUGCUUGGCAAUUCAGUGAUGUUGACCUCCUUGCUGUUCCUUUCACAAGAUAUUUCAUUUACCUACACCAUGUGUUCUCACUGGUUGGAAGUCUUCUUCUCAGGCAUCUAGGUGAUGUAGUGGAUACAGCACCAGCCUUAGAUUCAGAAGGACCUGAGUUCAACUCUGGUCUGGGAUACUUGACAUUUAUUAGCUGUGUGACCCUGGGCAAGUAACUUCACUCUGACUGCUUCCCUGCCUGCCUCCUCUUCCUAUCCCCUCCCCCAAAAAAAGAAAAAAGGAAUUCUUCUCUUCCUCAUCCCUGCCUCUUCUCCCUUUUGGAUUUUUUCAAUUCUCACCUGAAAUUCUGCCCCCCUCUUCCUUCUCCAAUCCUCAUUCCAGUGUCUUUGUGCUGGAUAUAUCCUGUAUAU